rnacentral:rRNA from 1 species
UUUGUAGGUGGCUUGCUAAGUCAGACGUGAAAUCCCUCAGCUUAACUGAGGAACUGCGUCUGAGACUGGCAAGCUUGAGUGCAGGAGAGGAACGCGGAAUUCCAGGUGUAGCGGUGAAAUGCGUAGAUAUCUGGAGGAACACCGGUGGCGAAGGCGGCGUUCUGGACUGUAACUGACACUGAUGAACGAAAGCCAGGGGAGCAAACG